ACAACAGUAGCUCAUUGGUAGAGCAGUCGACUGAAAAUCGAUCGGUAGCGGGUUCAAAUCCCGCCUGAACAAACA
rnacentral:tRNA from 1 species